GUUUACUGAUGUAAUGAUAUAUGGUAUUGAGUAUCAUUACAACAAAAACGGUCUAUAGCGACACUUUUAAAUGUCGCUAGAGGUCAAAAAAAGUGCUGCUGGCUAAAUUACCGACACUUUUAAAAAGUGUUGCUAUAUGUGGGGUCACUAGGUAUAUAGUGACAGUUAAAGUGUGUCGCUAUAACUAAAAAAAGUGUUGCUAAUUUACCAAUACUUAUUUAAGCAUUUAGCAACCGCCGAAACUUUACCUCGUUGGCUGCGGUGACGGAGGAGGGCGAGAGGGAAGGGCUUUUCGUCUAGGAUUGCAGUAGAUUGAGUGAGGGGAGAAUGAGAGAUGAUAAUCGAUUUUUCUUUUUUUUUCUUUUCUGUUUGUAAUUGGGCCGAAUGGGCUGGGUGGAGUGUGUUGAGUAGAGUAAACUUUUUUUUUUUGGUUGGAUUGGGCUUUAUAUUUAGGCAUUAGUAGAAUUUUUUUAAGUUUGAUAUAAAUGAGACACUUACAAAAAACUAUCCCAAAUAUGUAUCCCUAUAAUCUAAUUCUAUUGUAGUGUAUAUUGAUUGGUUUAUGCACGCUUUAAGAUAAAGUAUACAUUUGUGAACUCAUCAAACAUAUUCGAUGGAAAAAAUUGUCUGUAGGAGAUUCCUUGUGGAGGACUUAAAAUUGGGAAAUGCUUUGGGUUGGCUGAUAAAUAUGAUACGGCACAAAUAAAUUAAUCAAAAUAUGGGGCAUUGUGAAUACUAAUAUAUAAAAUAAUGUAUAAAGAUAAUGUUAGAAUUUGUUCACAUUGGAUUUAUCCAAAAUAUUCUUAGUCUAUAUAGAUAAGAAAGAAAUUCAAAAAGAUAAAUUCUAUUCUAUUUAAAUUUUUAUUUUUGUCAGAUUUAGUUAGAAGCAAGUUAGGAUUAACGUCUUUCUUUAGGCCUAUAAAUAUGUGAGAGAUUGGUUGCAAAUUAUAUACAAAAGAAAAAUAAGAAUAAUUUCUCCAUAGAAGUUUUCUUUCACUUUAGGGCACCAUGAGAAAUUCUAGAAAUUAGGACAAUGUGCUGUGAUCGACUCUUGUCGUCGGUUCGCGACAAGAAAACAUACUGCUAAAAAUGAAAUACGUGCUAGAGAUCGAGACAGAUUCUAUGAGUUUGCAAAACAAGACGAGAUCUAAUCCUGAUAAUUGCAACAUUAAUUCCGCAGUGAAAUAGAUAUGUAGUAUCCCUGGUGUUCUGCAGCCCGUGUGAUUUCAGCAUCUGAGGCUUGUGACACGUCUGGAGAGUGUCUGAACAAGUUGGAGUCGUUUUGGCGCGAAAUAGACGCAAAACAGAGUCAACGCGACGCGAGAGUAGAAUUCUGACACUGAAAUCUGCAAAUUGCAGGAUUACAAUGUUGAGUACCGGUACCUGAGAGGAGUACCGGUACCCCAGUGGAUUUCAGAAUUGGGUGCUUUCGGGUUUGAGCGUAUGCAAUGCUGAGUAUCGGUAUCGAGCCCGAGUACCGGUAUUGUAUCGGGCGAGUAUCGAUACCCAGUGCGCAAGACUACGGGCUGAGGGGCCGGGUACUGGUAUUGGAGUUGGGUACCGGUACCCCAACUGGAUUUUUGAAUUGGUAAGGGAUAUUUUGGUCUUUUUAAGUGACGAUCAACCCAAUGCUUAUCCUCAGCCUUAUAUACAUGUAGAGAGCUCAGAGAGGAAGGUUUGUUUGCUACUCUUUCUCUCCCUCUAGUUUUUGGACGUGCUCGUGGUGGAGAUCGCGGCUCGAGCCCGGGAAGUUGUCGACGUUGAUCCGAAGGACCGUUUGAGCAUGUGGUUGUCGCGAUUGCGCCGUUGGAGGCUGUGCGAGUGUGUGGAUUCCAUUCUUUCGACUUCUCACCGUGGUUGGACGAGCUUUGCGAGGUGGGUUGAUGUUUAUCAAAAUCGUCGGAUUUCCUUCUACGUCGAGAUAUUGUUAGCAUGUAUGUUUUAUUUGUAGUAUCAUGUUAGUAGCUCAAUUCAUCGAUUUGCAUAGUUUUUGUGAAAUUUGAGUUGGAGCCUUAAAUUCUAGAAUUGUUUUACAUGUUGGACUUGGAAUUGACUUAAGAGAAAACCAUUAAACUCUACAUUGUCAUUUUCUGAAAAGUUAUCAAAUUUAGUUUUAGGAGCUGUGGUUCUUUUGUAUCACCACUGUUAGUAUGCGGUGGAUAUCCAGAUUAGUGUAGGUUGAGGUUACGCUCGUGCUGGGAUGCCGAGUUCGUCUUACAGUAGUGCGUAGACUGUUUCAGAUUGUCGAGUAUCGUUGCGGUUGACGGUGGACCCAGAUUUAUGUAUUUUGCAUCAGAUUAUGCGAUGGGCACGUGAGUUUGGUUAUUAGACCGUUGCAUUGACUACAGUCGUCAGAGCCUAGUUGAGCUCAGUAGAGACACGCUUACAUACUCGGUUGGGUAAUGUCGGCGAGUGCCGCUCUGGAGUAAGGCUUUACGUGCAUUGUCGUCGCCGUAGUCCUGUUUGGACAGUGUUCUUGGGUCGGCCACCUCUGUGGUGGUGUGCAGUAUAGCUUGGACAUAGGCUGGACAGGCCAGUUGGCAGUCCUUUGACCUUGGGUCAGUGUAGUCGUUGUUGCAUAGGAUGCAUUUUUAUAUCUACAGAUAGCUCAUUAUGAGUAGCGAUAGUAUAGUAGCAUAUAGCUGUAGAGUUCAUUUCAACUUUUCUUGCUAUCUCUUGCACGCAUUUCUGUAGACUUAGUGGUUGCGCCGUUGAGGUAGGUGACGGUACCCACUGUCGACUACUCUAUUUUGCAGUAGUUCUCACACCCUGUUGUUCACUCCCUUUCUGCAGAGCCUAUUUUUGUGGCUGCUGCUGUUGUGGAUUCAGACCGAGGCAAGGGAGUCGUGAGUUAGAGCCAUCCCUUCCUUGGUUACCAGCUAAAGGAGUACCUAUCCAGAGGUAGUUUUGGGCUUUUUUUUGUACAUACUGGGAUGUUGUCGUGGUAUUCGCUGGAGCGAGUUGGGUUGUAGACAUUUUGUAUGUACAGGAACCCCUCAAGGUUUAUAUAUACAUAUAUUUUUCAGUUUAGUAGCUCUUUACUUUAUGGUUGUAGCUUGGUUUUGUUUAUAGGUACAGCUAUCACUUCAUAUACAUAAAAAAUUUCUAUGUAUACGGCGGGUCUGUUGGCGUGCCUGAGGAACUGUGGUAAUCCGGGGCGUGACAAGAUAUGUAAAGAUUACAUAACUUUUCAUCAUAAUCUAUAUAAAUAUAUGAAUCUCAGUCACUGUAAGCCACGUGGGAGAGAGCGGUGGAGGCUUAGGCGGAGGCGUGGGCCUCAGCGGACUGGGCGCGGGCGGGCGCGAGCCUGCGCGGGUGCUUGCGCAGACGCAAACGCGUAGGCGAGUGGAGGCCUAGCCAGGGGAGAGAGGAGGGCCGGGGAGCCUUUUUUUUUCUCUCUUAAAUUUUUUUCUCUCUUCAUAUUGGAGAAAAAGAUUUAUAAUUUUCCUUUAAGCCCACUCUAAUUUUUUAUUUUUUAUUAUAAAAAUUUAAAAUAUUAAAAUAGUUUAGACUAUUCGUAUUAAGUAUAAAUUUUAAUUUUAUAAUAUUAAGUAUUUAGAUAUAGAUUGUAUAUUAAAAAGAUAAAAGAAAGAUUGAUGGAGUUUAAGUUAAUUUUAUAUUUUGCAAAUUUUAGUUGCGAGAAUUGUAUAAAAUAUACUAACUAAAUUUGUAGAGCUAAGCAAUAUAUUCACUAUUUGUUAAGAGGCGAUUGUUGCAACCGCCUCUACGCUAUACGUUAGGGACACAUGAGAGGCGACUUAACACAACCGCCUCCAUAUUUGGAAAAAAAUAAUCUCAUUUGAUUUUUUUUCUUUCCCCCUAAUUUUCCCCCUCCCACUUUCCCCCCCAAAAAAAACCCUAAGUCACUGUCGAUCUUCUCAAACCCCUUCUCCCAAAAAAAACCCCACUACACCCUGAUUAGGAGGCUCCUCCUCCUCCCCGGCGCGGCGGCGGCCACGACUGCUCCCUCUUCGCCGGUUGCCGCGCUCCUCCCCCUUCGGCGUCCUCCUAAAGCUCAGGUGCGUCUACCUAACCCUCCCCUGAAUCGCCCCCCUCGCUCUCAGGCCCAUGCGUUCCAUCUCGCGCCCGCCGCCUCACCACCCCCCGCCGCCAACCACCACUUCCACCAUCCUGCGNGACUUGCCCCCCUCUCUCCCUAAUGCUACCCCAUCCCGCGCCCGCUGCCUCACUACCUCUCGCCGCCAACCACCACCCCCCCCAACCCGCGACGUUCAGACCCUCCCCACCCUCCACUCGCCCCCUCAUGCUCCCCCAUAUUCAAAUUUUUGAAGUCAAAGUACCAUUGAUUGACUCAAAUGUAAUAUAUCGAAAUGUUCGAUAAUAAUAACAAAAUUUUACAAGAUUGGAUAAAUGAUUCAAAAUAGUUCAUAAUUCAGAAAAAUUUUAUAUAUUUUAAUUUUAGUUUUAAUGUCAAACUUCAAUGCCAUAUUUAUAAUCUAAUGAGCAAUCAAUUUUAUAUUUAAAAUAUUUUGGAAUAUCCAAAAUAUGAUUGGUCGAUUUUUAAUUUUAACAAUUAAGUUUUCUAAAAUUUAUUCGAUAGUUUAACAUUUUCUUUCCUCAUAUGAAAUUGUUAAUUAAGCAACACUAAUUAAUGCUUGACUCUCACUUUAUUUUUAAGAAAACUAGAACAUAAAAAAACAAAAGUAAGUUGUGAUUUUGGUCCUCAAACUAUAAGAUGCGUGAAAUUUUACUCCUCAAACUUUCUUGGAUUAUUAUUUCUUACUCAAACUACAAGGGAUACAAUAUUUUAGCUCUUAAAUGUUAAUUAGUUGUAAUUUCUGGCUUAACAUAUGAGACAUGAUAUUUUAAUUUUCAACUCUUACUGCUGCUAUAAAUAUAAUUCUUUUUAUGGUCUUUUUUUUCGUUGUUUUUUAUUUUAAAAUCUAAUUCAUUAAAUAGAAUUUAAAUUAUUAGCUUGUAGGUCAUAUAUGUUUAAUUAAGUUUGAUAUCAAAAUAUUUAUCAUCUAAUAUAAAUUGUGGUGUAUAGAAUGUUAAUAUAUAUUAUGUGCAUAUAAGAAUUUUUCUUUUUUUCCAAUCAAUUUAAACAAGGUAAAUACAUCUCCGCCUUUUCGGUAAUUGGAAUAAGUUUUCCAAUUUAACUUUUUAGCUAAAAAAGUUAUUUAUAGAAUAGUUUUCAAAACUAUUAAAUUUAAUUAAUUUUUAAAUAAAAUUAUUAAAAUAAUAUAACUAUUCAAAAAUUAAGAAAAUAUUAAUAAAAAAAUUAUUUUUUAUAAUGUAUAUAAUACUAUUUUAUAAUUUUUUAAUAUUAAAAUUUUAAUAAUUAUAUAUUUUAAUAGACUAUCCGCUGCAAAAUACUACGGAACAUGCACUAGUUUGGUUAUUAAUUUCCAGCAGAUAGCAUUCUCAAAACCUCACAGUAUUUGGGGGCUUGAAGUAUUUCCUGAGGCUGAGGUUGGACAAAGAAAGAGAAAGAAAGAAAGCUCUGACAAAUGUCAGGGUCUACAUGUCAAUGUCAACAGGAUUGAAUCUUACCUUUUAAUUCUGCAGUGUCGAUUCUCGGAAAACGACUUGCUCUGGUUCGUACUCAAGAGCCCUUCAAAACUAUUUACUUUCCUAAAAUUUCCUCCUCUUUCUUUUUCUUUAUUAGGGAACCUAAAAUUUUCUAUGUUACAGGUGAAACCCUUCAUCGUUAUCCAAAUACCAUCGGUUGCUAUCAGUUGUAGCUUCUGGCAAGCGCAGGGGGUCAAGACCGUAUAUAUAUUUCAAGUGGUAUUUUGCAUAAACAUACUUUGAGAAUUCUAUAAGGGCAAAUGUCACUAUUAGCUUAGCAAUUUUAGUUACGUUUAUUUUGGUCCGCUAAUCUUUUUUUAUUUGAACAUUCAACGUCUGAGAAUUUUAAAAUAUCUUAUCAGUUAUAGUUUGAGAGAAAAAAAAAUAUAUAUAGUCCCCAUAUGAAUUCACCGGUUUUUUCGAGUGUUUUAAAAUCUGGUUCAAAUGGGCCGGUCGAACCGGUUCGACUGUAACCCAGUGCAUGAACCGAUUUGUAUAUACGGUAAUUGGUGAACAUUUUUACCUCGGAUAAUCAAGAGGAGGAUGACAUCAUAACAGAACAUUGUGUGCUUUUGCAUUUGUAUUGAUAGAUUAAUUUUUGUUUGAUCAAAACUACAAAAACAAACCAAAAAAAAAAAAUAUUUGAUUGCUCACAUCUGUUGGUACUUUCAAACCAUAUAAUUGAUUUGUUAUUCUUCCUUUACACUCUUUUAUUAUUAUUAUUAUCAUUAUUAUUAUUAUUAUGUGUCACUAUGCUGCUACAUUAGUUUUUUCAAAAGAUUUGCUGUUGAUUAUUAGUAUUUUUAUUUUCUUUGAUGAAGUGAUGUUCUGAUUCAGAUAUUAAAUCGUUAUUAGCAUAUUCAUGUGUGUAAUAACUAUAAGAAUUUUGGAGUUCUUAGCCCCAUUUGCUUGUAUUAUAUCCUUUUGAAUUUUUAUAGUAUUUAGGCUAAAUUACAAAAAAACUCCUGUAAUAAUCCGCUUUUUCAUUUUUCUCCCGUGAUAUUUAAAAACCUACACUUUGCCCCAUUGUAAAAAGAAAAAUAUUCAUAGGAAGGUUACGGUAUGUAAAAUGACUAUUUUGCCCCUCGUCAUUUUCGUCUUAUUCCUCAUCUUCCUCAGCUGCCCCUUCGAUCGGCCGCGAUUCCCACCUCAAUCGGCCGCGAUUUCUUAUAGGCAAGGGCAGUAGGAAAAAAAUCGAGGUGGGUGUUGAUGGAGAGGUAGGCAAGGGCAACGAGGGCGAAGGCGAGACGGCGGAGGAGGGGAAAGGGAAUGUGGGCGAGGGCGAGGCAGUGGAGGACGGCGAGGCGGCGAGGCGGCGAGCCGGAGGGAGGCGAAGCAACAAGGAAGAGGGCGGAGGGGUAUUUUCGGCAUAAAAAAUUAUUUUAUAACGGAACCCUAACGGUAGGAGGUGAAGUGCACAUUUUUCAUUUUACAAGGAGGCAAGUGUGGGCUUUUAAAUGUCAGAGGAAAAAGUGAAAAAACGGAUUAUUACAGGAAGGUUUUCUGUAAUUUAGCCUAGUAUUUAUGUAAAUUUCUGUCAGUUUGGUACUGCAGUAUCUUAUAACUUAUGGAAUGUUAAAAGCUCAUAUUAAUUUUUUUCAUAAAUAAUAAAUAAUAGCUAAAAUUUAAAAUUAAUUAAUUAUGACAUUUUGUCGAUGUCACUGAUUUCAACCAACAGUGGACCUUAACCCGGUGAUAAUUCCGGUUCAUUCCUGGUUUCAAGUUUUAAAACAUUUAAUUUUUCUAUCCGUCCCCAACACUCUAUCUAGUUGUAUGACAAAACAAAUAUUAAAAAGAACUGUAAGUGGCUACUUAGUUAGAACUUAUUAACUAUAAAAAUAUUUAAACACUAUUUUCUAUGAGCUUUACUUUUUACAAUACAACGAUUGUUUCGUAUUAUUUAUCUUGGUAUCAGAGUAGGUCCUUAAUUCGAGUCACGUCAGACUCCUAAUAUUAUUAAUUUUUUUGUAUUUAAUUUAACUCCAUAUUAUGGGCCUUGUAAAAAAGUCUCGAACUCAAAUAUGAGAGAAGUGUUAACUAUAAAAAUAUUUAAAUAUUGUUCUCUAUAAACUUUAAGUUUUUUAGAGUAUAAUAGUUAUUUUGUAUUAUUUAAUAGAACUAAAUACAAAAAAUGACAAGAACUAAAAUUUAAAAAAGUACCUCUAAAAGUAAUAAGAAAAAAGAAGAAUCCACAAUGACCCUUUAAUUUUAGUAAUUUUAUGAAUAGACGUUUUUAUUUUUAAUUUUGACAAUUAGAGUCUAAACAUUACCAAAUAAUUCAAUUAGUUUCUCUUCUCAAUAGAAAUUAUAAAAAAUUAUGUGCAUGACAUGCAAUAAAAUUGGUGUACUAAUUAUAGUAAUUUUGCUCGAUGAAAAAAUAUUAUUUAACAAAAUUUUGAAAAAUUAAAAUUUGCAAGAGCUAUGUACUUCCAUGUAAAACUAUGAAUAAUAAUUUCGGUGAAAUUUUUUUUUUAAAUUUUUGGUGAAAAAAAAAAUUACGCUAUUUAACGUUUGGAAUUUGUAUCUAUGAUAAGAAAAAUAAUUUUCUAACCAUACUUAUUUGGUUGAAAAAAUAAGUUUGAAUAAAAAAUUAUUUUAUAUAUUUUUCUAUAUUAUAUAUUAUUAUUAUUAUCAUCAUCAUUUAUAUUUAUAAAUGAAAUAUAUUCAAAAAUAUAUUAUAUAAGAAAUAUAAUAUAAUAUAUAAUAACAUAACAUAUAUAUAAUAUUAUAUAUAAUAUGUAAAUAUAUAUUCACAAAUAAAAUAUUAUAUUGGCUAAAUUACAUAAAAUUCUCGGUCAAAAUCCGAUUUUUCACUUUCCCCCUAUGUCAUUUAAAAACCUACACUUUGCCCCCUUAUAAAAUGAAAAAUGGUCACAGGGGGUGCGGUAUAAACUGUGAUGACAAAAUGAUCAUUUUGCCCCUUACUAUAUUUGGCAACAUGAGAGAAAGCUGAGGGCAUUUUUGGCAUUAAAAAAUAUAGGCAUUUUUGCAAAAAAAAAUCUUCUAAUUUUGGGCUUUUCCAAAAUUGGGUUGCUAUUUUUGAUUUUGCAAAUUCGAUUCAAAUUUUCAGCAAACUGACCAAAAUACCCUUAUUACUUUUUCUCUUUCCUCUUUUUUUUUUCCUCGUUCUUUUUUUCUCUCUUCGCUUCUACGCCGUCUCCCGCCUCGCCCUCUGCUACGAUCGCCGCUCCGACAGCAUCGGCAACGCGGCGCUGGCGGCCGUGGCCCUCCGCUGCCCCGUCCUCCGCAAGCUCUCUGUCACCUCCUGCUCCUACGGCGCCCUGGGCAUCCUCGCCGUCGUACGCAGAUGCCCGCUCCUCAAGGAGCUCUCCCUCAAGCGCCUCCGCGGCCUUGACUCUCCGAUCCUCGUCCUCGCUCUGAUCUAUCUAGUGGUGAAUAAUGAAGAGCAAACAAAAAUGCAGAGGAUAGAAAAAAAAUAAAAAAUAAAAAAAAAUUGUCUCUUUGAAAAAUUAUUAUGUAUUGUUACUAUUAUCGGACAAGGCCAAAAAUCAGAGAAAAAGAAAGAAGAAGAGGCAAAAAAUAAGAGAAAAAGGAAAAAAAGAUGAAUGUUGCACUGUUAAAAUUAAAUUGCACUAUUUAAAAAAAAAAUUGCACUAUUUAAAGUGAAUGUUAUACUCUUUAAAAUAAAAAUUACACCAUUUCGCCAAAUUUUACACUAUUUCAUCCAAAAUUGCACCGUUUCUCCUUCUCAUCCUCUUCCUCUUCCUUCUUCUUUUUUACACCAUUACACCAUUAACAACAAAAAUCUCCUAAAAAUCGAGCUGGAUUUACCUACGCCGCCGACUCGCCCCAUCCCUCCUCCGCCGCCUUCGCCACUCCCAUUCGAGCACGAGAACGAGCGCGAGCGCGAGCUAUCCUCGCAUUGCAAGUGCCGCCGCGGAGCUUCGCGGCGUACGACAGCGUCGCCCCAUCUAGGGCUAUGCCUAUCCAGCUCAAGAGCGCUGCAGCGGGGACGCGGGAGCUUGACGACUACGACGCAGACGCCGAGGACGUCGUCAUCGGCGUCGGCGGCGGAGAAGGGGGCGGAGGGAGAAGGGCAGGGGUCGGCGGGGCGACAGGAGGGGCAGUGUCACGCCCCGGAUGUCUCGUUCCCCGGGUACGCCGACAAAUCCGCCGUAUACAUAGAAAUUUUUUCUGUAUACGAAGCGUCAAUAGUACCUGUAGAUAUACAAUACUACAAACAGUAGUAUAGAGCUGCCCAAUAAACAAAAGCUAAACAACUGAGUUUCCUAUACAUAGUCCAAAUCCAAAAUACAGGGUUACUCGCACUGGCGAGUUAAGCAAGCUAUGUACAUAAACUGAAAACAAAACAUCUACCUGCAGUAGGGGUGCCUCUAGCUCUGUCAGUCGGGUAGGGCUCUAGCUCGGGACGCCCUUGCCUCGAUCCUGAUCAGCGGAAGGCGCAGCAGCCGAAACCUGUGGCUCUGCAAAAUAGGGGUAACAAGUGGGCGUGAGAACUACUGUAAAAACAAGUAGUCCUCAAUGGGUACCGCCCAAACAACAUCGGUCCACCCACUAAGUCUACAGAAAGGAAGCAAGAGUAGUCAGAAAAGCAGGAAGUAAACUCUACCACUAUCGAUCACUAUACUCUCAUGCUCUACACUAACCAACUAUAGGAAAUGCCAAAUCUGACCCAAUCCAAUCGGGAUUGUAAACAUACCCGUCCCUGGGACUGUGAAUACACCCAUCCCUGCCCCGUUGCGACUAUCCAGCUACCUUCACACAACUGUCUGUGGAGAACAAGUCCAACUGGCAUGAGCGACAUCAACGCGAAAGCACAAAGCGUGACUCCGGAGUGGCACUCGUGGGCGCUACCCAACCGAGUAUGCAGCGUAUCUCUAUCGAGCUCAAACAGGCUCUGAAAAGCCAAAGUCAAAAAAUCGACUCUAACUGGUCUAACAACCAACAAGUAACGUGUCCUCGGCACAAUCAGAUGCCAAAAAGGCGAUACGGGUCCACCGUCAACCUCCACGGCACCCUACAAUCCGGAACAGCCUGAACGACCCUGUAAAAAUCCACUCGGCGAACCAGCACGAGCGUAAAUAUAUUCUAAACUACCUGGAAUACUCGUCUCGAAGAUACUGCGACAGUACAAUUUAAUAACGGCUCCUAGAGCUAAAUCAGAUAGUUUAAUCAAAUGACAGGUCCAAAUCGCAGAUUUUCUCCUAAUUCAAUUUCCAAGUCCAACAUGUAUAACCUAUUCAAUUUAUUACCACAUGCUCCGAAUUCAGAUAUACAAUCUACCAUUUAAUUCAUGAAUUCGAGCUAGAAUAGAUUAUCCAAAAAUCGAAACUAUACAUGUCGACGAUUAGAACUUAGGAGUCAAAGCCGAUGUAACCCAUCUCGCACGCUAAUUCCUGGCAGCACGGAACUCUCACGGCGACGGAACAACUUGCUGGAUCGACUGAAAACGCCCGAUUCCCGCAAUUGAGCUAACUCCAAGCUAUCAACAUCGAAAAUUCCCGAUUCAGUCCAAAAACACAGCAGCAGAGAAGGGAAGGGUUUCGACCAAGCUAACCUUCACCAAAACCGCAAGUAAGGGCUUCGUGGAUUCCUCUCGAAGUCCCGAAUCCAACGAACCAAGUCCCGUCGAAAUCCGAUGCUCCUACGCCGAGUACGAGCUGAAAUACUAACAGUCGACGAUGAAUUUCAGAAAACAGCAUCACCCCGAGUUGUAGUAAAAACUUGCCCAAAACCAUGGAAAUGCUGAAUUACUCACCUCGACAACGCCAAGCACCGGUGCGGCAGCAAGAACGGCAAAAACCUACGCUCGCCCGGCCUCCUCGCGCUACCCCCGGCGUUAAACACGUGCUCGAACAGCUCCACGGCGCGACGUUGGCGACGAAUUCUCCAACCGAGCUCACUUACCUUCAACCGAGACUAGAGAGAGAGAGGAGAAGAGGGAGCAACAAGAACUCUCUCUCUCUCUCAGCUCAGUACAAGCCUAAAUAGAGAGGGAGUGAGUCGGUGAUACAAACGAGGGAUAAAAUUACUCAUUUAGCCCUCUACCUACCCCCUUGUACCGGUACACGGGCUCCUGUACCGGUACAAGAGCCAACCCGAGAGCAGCUAAAAUAGUGCGCGCUGGUUGUACCGGUACAGUGUGCUGGUUGUACCGGUACAGCAAGCAGAGAAUUCUGCUGUUUUGCAGAUUUCUUCGCUAUAAGCUGCCAUCGCGUCGCACGGAGUCCGUUUUACGUCUAUUUGACGCCAACGCGACUCGGACUUGUCCCGACACUCUCCAGAGCU
rnacentral:lncRNA from 1 species